rnacentral:rRNA from 1 species
CUUGACAUCCAGCGAACUUUCCAGAGAUGGAUUGGUGCCUUCGGGAACGCUGAGACAGGUGCUGCAUGGCUGUCGUCAGCUCGUGUUGUGAAAUGUUGGGUUAAGUCCCGNAACGAGCGCAACCCUUAUCCUUUGUUGCCAGCGAUUCGGUCGGGAACUCAAAGGAGACUGCCGGUGAUAAACCGGAGGAAGGUGGGGAUGACGUCAAGUCAUCAUGGCCCUUACGAGUAGGGCUACACACGUGCUACAAUGGCGCAUACAAAGAGAAGCGACCUCGCGAGAGCAAGCGGACCUCAUAAAGUGCGUCGUAGUCCGGAUCGGAGUCUGCAACUCGACUCCGUGAAGUCGGAAUCGCUAGUAAUCGUGGAUCAGAAUGCCACGGUGAAUACGUUCCCGGGCCUUGUACACACCGCCCGUCACACCAUGGGAGUGGGUUGCAAAAGAAGUAGGUAGCUUAACCUUCGGGAGGGCGCUUACCACUUUGUGAUUCAUGACUGGGGUGAAGUCGUAACAAGGUAAGCGUAGCGAG